GACGAACGCUGGCGGCGUGCCUAAUACAUGCAAGUUGAGCGCUGAAGGUUGGUACUUGUACCAACUGGAUGAGCAGCGAACGGGUGAGUAACGCGUGGGGAAUCUGCCUUUGAGCGGGGGACAACAUUUGGAAACGAAUGCUAAUACCGCAUAAAAACUUUAAACACAAGUUUUAAGUUUGAAAGAUGCAAUUGCAUCACUCAAAGAUGAUCCCGCGUUGUAUUAGCUAGUUGGUGAGGUAAAGGCUCACCAAGGCGAUGAUACAUAGCCGACCUGAGAGGGUGAUCGGCCACAUUGGGACUGAGACACGGCCCAAACUCCUACGGGAGGCAGCAGUAGGGAAUCUUCGGCAAUGGACGAAAGUCUGACCGAGCAACGCCGCGUGAGUGAAGAAGGUUGUCGGAUCGUAAAGCUCUGUUGGUAGAGAAGAACGUUGGUGAGAGUGGAAAGCUCAUCAAGUGACGGUAACUACCCAGAAAGGGACGGCUAACUACGUG
rnacentral:rRNA from 1 species